AGCCACGCAGUGAGCACAAAGCGAACUAUUCUUUCGCCUUUUACUAAAGAAUACCGUGUGAGCAUUGCAACUAGUGGCAUACGCCAAUUUUUGGAGGGGUUCUCUUCUAUGAGUACC
rnacentral:snRNA from 2 species